AGAGAGCUAUUAUGAUAAUUUCCGUUAGAAGGUUUACCAACAUAGUUGCCCGCCGACUUGUUUUUUGCCGCCAGCUGAUAUGUACGCUUGUUUCUCACCCAGAGUGUGGAUGUAUAGAUAGAUGGAUGGAUGAAUCUGAUAAAAUAAAUUCUAGCACGCGUUCAGUCUGCGAUAAACGGCGAAAGAAAACGAAUGCUAAAGCAAAUAACGGUAACAUACGAUAUUUCCAACCGAAAAAUAUGUGUAAUUGAAAUAGCGAAAAAGAAAUCCUAUGACAAAAAGCAAAAUCAAAAUAAAUUAUAUAUGUGUAUAUUUUCAAAUUGUCAUACAUAUUUAAAAAGCAACAAGAAGAAAAAAUGAUGUCUUCUUGUUUGUGUGAGUGUGUCUAGAGGGUGCUGUUGUGAUUUUUGUUGCCGUUGUUGUUGAUUUUAAUAAGUGUCUUAUGCAAAAUUUAAGUCUGUGCAUUUCGAGAAAA
rnacentral:sRNA from 1 species